rnacentral:rRNA from 1 species
UACGAAGGGGGCUAGCGUUGCUCGGAUUUACUGGGCGUACAGGGCGCGUAGGCGGACAGUUUAGUCAGAGGUGAAAGCCCAGGGCUCAACCUUGGAAUUGCUUUUGAUACUGGCUGUCUUGAGUACGGGAGAGGUGAGUGGAACUCCGAGUGUAGAGGUGAAAUUCGUAGAUAUUCGGAAGAACACCAGUGGCGAAGGCGACUCACUGGCCCGUUACUGACGCUGAGGCGCGAAAGCGUGGGGAGCAAACAGG